rnacentral:tRNA from 1 species
GGGGAUGUAGCUUAGAUGGUAGAGUGCUCGCUUAGCAUGUGAGAGGCAAUACCCAGCAUCUCCA